GCCCUUCACUCUGGGACAAGCCCUGGAAACGGGGUCUAAUACCGGAUAACACUCUGUCCCGCAUGGGACGGGGUUAAAAGCUCCGGCGGUGAAGGAUGAGCCCGCGGCCUAUCAGCUUGUUGGUGGGGUGAUGGCCUACCAAGGCGACGACGGGUAGCCGGCCUGAGAGGGCGACCGGCCACACUGGGACUGAGACACGGCCCAGACUCCUACGGGAGGCAGCAGUGGGGAAUAUUGCACAAUGGGCGAAAGCCUGAUGCAGCGACGCCGCGUGAGGGAUGACGGCCUUCGGGUUGUAAACCUCUUUCAGCAGGGAAGAAGCGAAAGUGACGGUACCUGCAGAAGAAGCGCCGGCUAACUACGUGCCAGCAGCCGCGGUAAUACGUAGGGCGCAAGCGUUGUCCGGAAUUAUUGGGCGUAAAGAGCUCGUAGGCGGCUUGUCACGUCGGAUGUG
rnacentral:rRNA from 1 species